AUUGAACGCUGGCGGCAGGCCUAACACAUGCAAGUCGAGCGGCAGCGGGAAGUAGCUUGCUACUUUGCCGGCGCGCGGCGGACGGGUGAGUAAUGUCUGGGAAACUGCCUGAUGGAGGGGGAUAACCACUGGCAACGGUAGCUAAUACCGCAUAACGUCGCAAGACCAAAGAGGGGGACCUUCGGGCCUCUUGCCAUCAGAUGUGCCCAGAUGGGAUCAGCUAGUAGGUGGGGUAAUGGCUCACCUAGGCGACGAUCCCUAGCUGGUCUGAGAGGAUGACCAGCCACACUGGAACUGAGACACGGUCCAGACUCCUACGGGAGGCAGCAGUGGGGAAUAUUGCACAAUGGGCGCAAGCCUGAUGCAGCCAUGCCGCCUGUAUGAAGAAGGCCUUCGGGUUGUAAAGUACUUUCAGCGGGGAGGAAGGUGUGGAGGUUAAUAACCGCAGCAAUUGACGUUACCCGCAGAAGAAGCACCGGCUAACUCCGUGCCAGCCGCCGCAGUAA
rnacentral:rRNA from 1 species